rnacentral:rRNA from 1 species
CCGAGGAAAAGAAAUCAACCGAGAUUCCCCCAGUAGCGGCGAGCGAACGGGGAGCAGCCCAGAGCCUGAAUCAGUGUGUGUGUUAGUGGAAGCGUCUGGAAAGGCGUGCGAUACAGGGUGACAGCCCCGUACACAAAAAUGCACAUAUUGUGAGCUCGAUGAGUAGGGCGGGACACGUGGUAUCCUGUCUGAAUAUGGGGGGACCAUCCUCCAAGGCUAAAUACUCCUGACUGACCGAUAGUGAACCAGUACCGUGAGGGAAAGGCGAAAAGAACCCCGGCGAGGGGAGUGAAAAAGAACCUGAAACCGUGUACGUACAAGCAGUGGGAGCACGCUUAGGCGUGUGACUGCGUACCUUUUGUAUAAUGGGUCAGCGACUUAUAUUCUGUAGCAAGGUUAACCGAAUAGGGGAGCCGAAGGGAAACCGAGUCUUAACUGGGCGUUAAGUUGCAGGGUAUAGACCCGAAACCCGGUGAUCUAGCCAUGGGCAGGUUGAAGGUUGGGUAACACUAACUGGAGGACCGAACCGACUAAUGUUGAAAAAUUAGCGGAUGACUUGUGGCUGGGGGUGAAAGGCCAAUCAAACCGGGAGAUAGCUGGUUCUCCCCGAAAGCUAUUUAGGUAGCGCCUCGUGAAUUCAUCUCCGGGGGUAGAGCACUGUUUCGGCAAGGGGGUCAUCCCGACUUACCAACCCGAUGCAAACUGCGAAUACCGGAGAAUGUUAUCACGGGAGACACACGGCGGGUGCUAACGUCCGUCGUGAAGAGGGAAACAACCCAGACCGCCAGCUAAGGUCCCAAAGUCAUGGUUAAGUGGGAAACGAUGUGGGAAGGCCCAGACAGCCAGGAUGUUGGCUUAGAAGCAGCCAUCAUUUAAAGAAAGCGUAAUAGCUCACUGGUCGAGUCGGCCUGCGCGGAAGAUGUAACGGGGCUAAACCAUGCACCGAAGCUGCGGCAGCGACACUAUGUGUUGUUGGGUAGGGGAGCGUUCUGUAAGCCUGUGAAGGUGUACUGUGAGGUAUGCUGGAGGUAUCAGAAGUGCGAAUGCUGACAUAAGUAACGAUAAAGCGGGUGAAAAGCCCGCUCGCCGGAAGACCAAGGGUUCCUGUCCAACGUUAAUCGGGGCAGGGUGAGUCGACCCCUAAGGCGAGGCCGAAAGGCGUAGUCGAUGGGAAACAGGUUAAUAUUCCUGUACUUGGUGUUACUGCGAAGGGGGGACGGAGAAGGCUAUGUUGGCCGGGCGACGGUUGUCCCGGUUUAAGCGUGUAGGCUGGUUUUCCAGGCAAAUCCGGAAAACUAAGGCUGAGGCGUGAUGACGAGGCACUACGGUGCUGAAGCAACAAAUGCCCUGCUUCCAGGAAAAGCCUCUAAGCAUCAGGUAACAUCAAAUCGUACCCCAAACCGACACAGGUGGUCAGGUAGAGAAUACCAAGGCGCUUGAGAGAACUCGGGUGAAGGAACUAGGCAAAAUGGUGCCGUAACUUCGGGAGAAGGCACGCUGAUAUGUAGGUGAAGUCCCUCGCGGAUGGAGCUGAAAUCAGUCGAAGAUACCAGCUGGCUGCAACUGUUUAUUAAAAACACAGCACUGUGCAAACACGAAAGUGGACGUAUACGGUGUGACGCCUGCCCGGUGCCGGAAGGUUAAUUGAUGGGGUCAGCGCAAGCGAAGCUCUUGAUCGAAGCCCCGGUAAACGGCGGCCGUAACUAUAACGGUCCUAAGGUAGCGAAAUUCCUUGUCGGGUAAGUUCCGACCUGCACGAAUGGCGUAAUGAUGGCCAGGCUGUCUCCACCCGAGACUCAGUGAAAUUGAACUCGCUGUGAAGAUGCAGUGUACCCGCGGCAAGACGGAAAGACCCCGUGAACCUUUACUAUAGCUUGACACUGAACAUUGAGCCUUGAUGUGUAGGAUAGGUGGGAGGCUUUGAAGUGUGGACGCCAGUCUGCAUGGAGCCGACCUUGAAAUACCACCCUUUAAUGUUUGAUGUUCUAACGUUGACCCGUAAUCCGGGUUGCGGACAGUGUCUGGUGGGUAGUUUGACUGGGGCGGUCUCCUCCUAAAGAGUAACGGAGGAGCACGAAGGUUGGCUAAUCCUGGUCGGACAUCAGGAGGUUAGUGCAAUGGCAUAAGCCAGCUUGACUGCGAGCGUGACGGCGCGAGCAGGUGCGAAAGCAGGUCAUAGUGAUCCGGUGGUUCUGAAUGGAAGGGCCAUCGCUCAACGGAUAAAAGGUACUCCGGGGAUAACAGGCUGAUACCGCCCAAGAGUUCAUAUCGACGGCGGUGUUUGGCACCUCGAUGUCGGCUCAUCACAUCCUGGGGCUGAAGUAGGUCCCAAGGGUAUGGCUGUUCGCCAUUUAAAGUGGUACGCGAGCUGGGUUUAGAACGUCGUGAGACAGUUCGGUCCCUAUCUGCCGUGGGCGCUGGAGAACUGAGGGGGGCUGCUCCUAGUACGAGAGGACCGGAGUGGACGCAUCACUGGUGUUCGGGUUGUCAUGCCAAUGGCACUGCCCGGUAGCUAAAUGCGGAAGAGAUAAGUGCUGAAAGCAUCUAAGCACGAAACUUGCCCCGAGAUGAGUUCUCCCUGACUCCUUGAGAGUCCUGAAGGAACGUUGAAGACGACGACGUUGAUAGGCCGGGUGUGUAAGCGCAGCGAUGCGUUGAGCUAACCGGUACUAAUGAACCGUGAGGCUUAACCUU